AACGAACGCUGGCGGCAUGCCUAACACAUGCAAGUCGAACGAGACCUUCGGGUCUAGUGGCGCACGGGUGCGUAACGCGUGGGAACCUGCCCUUAGGUUCGGAAUAACUCCCCGAAAGGGGUGCUAAUACCGGAUAAUGUCUUCGGACCAAAGAUUUAUCGCCUUUGGAUGGGCCCGCGUUGGAUUAGCUAGUUGGUAGGGUAAAAGCCUACCAAGGCGACGAUCCAUAGCUGGUCUGAGAGGAUGAUCAGCCACACUGGGACUGAGACACGGCCCAGACUCCUACGGAGGCAGCAGUGGGGAAUAUUGGACAAUGGGCGAAAGCCUGAUCCAGCAAUGCCGCGUGAGUGAUGAAGGCCUUAGGGUUGUAAAGCUCUUUUACCCGAGAUGAUAAUGACAGUACCGGGAGAAUAAGCUCCGGCUAACUCCGU
rnacentral:rRNA from 1 species